rnacentral:tRNA from 1 species
GGCUUAGCUCAGCAGUGUAAGCGCCUACCUGGCAAGCAGGAGGUCACGAGUUCAAUAUCUCGUGCCA